rnacentral:rRNA from 1 species
ACAUACGACCAUAGGGUGUGGAAAAUAGGGCUUCCCGUCCGNCCGUACUUAAGCCACACGCCGGUGAGUUAGUAGUUGGGUGGGUGACCACCAGCGAAUCCUCACUGUUGUAUGUU